rnacentral:rRNA from 2 species
UAGGGAAUCUUCGGCAAUGGGGGGAACCCUGACCGAGCAACGCCGCGUGAGUGAAGAAGGUUUUCGGAUCGUAAAGCUCUGUUGUUAAGGAAGAACGAGUGUGAGAAUGGAAAGUUCAUGCUGUGACGGUACUUAACCAGAAAGGGACGGCUAACUACGUGCCAGCAGCCGCGGUAAUACGUAGGUCCCGAGCGUUGUCCGGAUUUAUUGGGCGUAAAGCGAGCGCAGGCGGUUAGAAAAGUCUGAAGUGAAAGGCAGUGGCUCAACCAUUGUAGGCUUUGGAAACUGUUUAACUUGAGUGCAGAAGGGGAGAGUGGAAUUCCAUGUGUAGCGGUGAAAUGCGUAGAUAUAUGGAGGAACACCGGUGGCGAAAGCGGCUCUCUGGUCUGUAACUGACUCUGAGGCUCGAAAGCGUGGGGAGCGAACAGG